rnacentral:rRNA from 1 species
AUUGAACGCUGGCGGCAUGCCUUACACAUGCAAGUCGAACGGUAACAGGUCUUCGGAUGCUGACGAGUGGCGAACGGGUGAGUAAUACAUCGGAACGUGCCCGAUCGUGGGGGAUAACGAAGCGAAAGCUUUGCUAAUACCGCAUACGAUCUACGGAUGAAAGCAGGGGACCGCAAGGCCUUGCGCGAACGGAGCGGCCGAUGGCAGAUUAGGUAGUUGGUGGGAUAGAAGCUUACCAAGCCGACGAUCUGUAGCUGGUCUGAGAGGACGACCAGCCACACUGGGACUGAGACACGGCCCAGACUCCUACGGGAGGCAGCAGUGGGGAAUUUUGGACAAUGGGCGAAAGCCUGAUCCAGCCAUGCCGCGUGCAGGAUGAAGGCCUUCGGGUUGUAAACUGCUUUUGUACGGAACGAAAAGACUCUGGUUAAUACCUGGGGUCCAUGACGGUACCGUAAGAAUAAGCACCGGCUAACUGCGUGCCAGCCGCCGCCGUAACAC